ACUUGAUGACAUGAGCAGUCGCAUUGACGACCUGGAGAAAAACAUUGCAGACCUCAUGACACAGGCUGGCGUGGAAGAACUGGAAGGCGAAAGCAAGAUCCCAGCCACGCCAAAGAGUUGAAGGUGAGGGAAGGGACAGCCUCGGGAUGGCGCGUGUGCGUCGCGGUGACUUCGUGCGGUCAGACUUUCUGCCCGUCACUUCCCAGCCGUGAUCCUCGCAAGCGUCUCUUGUACCGGCCCCUCCGCGGGCUCCGAGCUUGCAGAUCUUUCAUGCCGAAUUCGUUAGCAGGAGUUUAUUUUCCCAGUGUUUAUUAAUGAGACCUGCAUCCGUAUUAGUUAAGGUAGUUGGUUAACAUUAAUUAGGUAGUCACUGAGUUUAUAUCAUGGCAGCCAGAACCCAAGAAAUGCGUUUCGUUGGCCUGAGAAUUCUUACCACUGGCAGAUUUUUCUUCUUCUUCUUUUUUUUUUUUAUUUCUUUUUUUUGAUAACCCAGAGCCCACAUUGCCGCCUUCAUAAAUGCUUUGAAUUCCUGCACUAGAUAAAUGCCAGGACGGCAGCUGAUUGUGAUUUCAAUGAACUAGAUGAGGCCACGUUAAGCCUUCACUCUAGAGUUGAUUUAAAUUCCCACCACGUAGUUCCAGAUACCCGAGAAAAGACGAAUAAUUUGAUUUAAAUUCCCACUACGUAGUUCCAGAUAUCCGACAAAAGACUGAUAAUUGAAAGUAGCCAUGUAGCGGGGCGCCUGGGUGGCGCAGUCGGUUAAGCGUCCGACUUCAGCCAGGUCACCAUCUCGCGGUCCGUGAGUUCGAGCCCCGCGUCGGGCUCUGGGCUGAUGGCUCAGAGCCUGGAGCCUGUUUCCGAUUCUGUCUCCCUCUCUCUCUGCCCCUCCCUCUGUCCCAAAAUAAAUAAAAAAACGUUGAAAAAAAAAAUUUAAAUAAAAAAAAGAAAAAAAAAAAGAAAGUAGCCACGUAGCAAGGCCGCAAGAUGCACUUGGCCUCCAGUUUCCCCGUAGUGACUUUCUCGUCUUAAGGCUUUCCGUGAGGAUGACAGCUACCUCAUUGCAACCCAAAAGUAGUUUUGAAACUCCCUUUUCUCUCAUCCCAUUUUCAGCCCAUUUAAUUCAGUGAAUUUUCAUUUUCAUCCUGUUUAACUCAGUGAGUUAAAAACUCACUAUAAAAAUAAAGUUUCCAGAGAGUCUUCGGUAACUAUGGUGCCAAGCAGAAUACACAGCCAAAGGCACCAAAUUCCUUUUGUCUUGUUAAGUGUGCUGGGCAUGUCCUGGCUGGACCAAAUCCUAAGUAGCUGUAAAAUACAGGUUGCUUUGAAGUCCAAGAAAAUAGAGACUUGGGAGGUAAAAGACCUGGAAAUUUGCUGUUACUCUGACCGAUUGGGUUGAUCCGCUGUGUGAGUGAGGCACACAGUUCCGUGUGGGUUGUCCUCUCUUUAUUACUGUGUAGGGGUGUCCUGGGAAAUGCCCUGCCAGUCGUAGAAGCUUCUGGGCCUCCUACGGCGGGGCAGUCCAAAGUCCUGCCACAGUGAGUGAGAACAUCCUCCCGAGAACUGCAGUGACGGGAGGUGAAGUGAACUUGGAGACUUUAGUGAUGGGGAUAACAGCAAGAGAAGCUGGGAUGCAUUCAGAAGUUUUUAAGUAACGAUUUCCAAUCGAUCUGUUGUAUCUUUGUUGGGGCAUCUGCAGAGAAACUUAAGUUUAGCUCCCUAGAGGGUUCUCAAAGGGUUUAUAGUUGCUAAUUGUAUGUAUCAUUCUUGUCCUUCUCUGAACAUAACAUGUCCAUGGUUUUUUCUCUUCCAACAGGUUGCUAAUUCACCCUGAGACCCGGAACACCGUUUUUACAAGCGAAGAGAAGACCGAAUGGCUUUCUGAAGCAACUACUAUGCGUAGACAGGUUUUCUGUUAGAAAGUGUGCGUUCUUACCACAUACUACAUAGUUAGUUCAUAGAGUGAUUCUCCCCCCAGUUUCUUGAACAUGGUAACGUCACAUCUUGGACCUUGGUCAGUCGUGCUGUUAAAUAUUAAACACUAAAACUUUGGCGGCUCCUGCCUAAAAUUGUCAAGUUUUUUAGUGUAUAUUUGUGAACUCAUCGUUUUCUAUCAUUCCUUUUGUAGUAGUUGCUGUUUGAUGAAAGUUGCUGUGUAAAUUUUUAUUAGACAUACGGUAGGUCCUUCAGUUCCAAUCAGAUUUUGUGAAGGAAGACGUUUGGCAAGUUGACGACUCUCUGAUUCUCAGCACAGAGUGACUGUUGAGCCGACACCAAAUAGCACGUCGGUGAUACUUUUCAAGUGGUUCAGAACGUUUAAAAAUUGUUCGUUCAGAAAUCUCUGGCGCUGCCCUGUUGCCAAAAUUCAAAGUUGAACCGCAAUUUGAUGUCUUAAGGCUCUGAGGUCAGACGCCAGAGUAAUGAGGAAUGGCCACUCCCGCUUCUGUGUGUGAGAAUUCUCAAAUCUGGAAAAUGACAGAACUGCCUCAUGUAGGGAGGCGUUCAUUAGUUAGAGUUUUGCAUGAGAUUUGAACACUUGAGUAGGCCCCUGUGCUGUUCGUCUACGAUAGUCCUCGUUGAAAAUCUGGCAGGAUUUCACGACCCAGCUCGCCGUCUUGUCUUGGAGCUACUGACCAGGAGAAGGAACAGAACCGGAGAGCAGAUCAUGCUAAGUUCGUGCCAUAGCCCGGCUAGAAAAUGGUAAAUGACUUGUCAUAGGCUCAAGUUUUUAAGAUAUACUGUUUCUUUAAACGAUUUCUUACCUAAAUUCUUACAGAGUAAUGGUUUUAUUAUUGACCUUACGAGACAGGGGUCGUAACUCCUACCAGUCAAAAAGGCAGUGCCCAGAGCGCUAAGCCUAGAGGCCGGCCCUGACCGUGCACGAGAUCCCUGUGAUUGUCACAGCAAACGUGACUCCAUCUACAAAAAAAAAUGGGAAAAGUUGAGGGAUGGUCUAGUGCUUCUUAGAAACCCUGAAUGAACAGUGUGAGUUUUUUUUAAAGUUUCCUGUAUCACCAGUCGUGUUUGUAUUACAAAUAUAUAAUAUUAUUGAGAAAUAACUUGUCGUAUUUAUAAAUAACGUAGGUAACACAAAGGAGUAAGUUUCCUCUGAGCUGAGUGAAUGACCCACUGUUACUGCCCUGCCACAGAAACUCCUCUGAUGGGCCNN
rnacentral:lncRNA from 1 species